UACAGAGGGUGCAAGCGUUAAUCGGAAUUACUGGGCGUAAAGAGCGUGUAGGCGGCCAGAUAAGUCCGCUGUGAAAUCUCGAGGCUCAACUUCGAGCUGUCGGUGGAAACUGUCUGGCUAGAGUCCGGAAGAGGAGAAUGGAAUUCCUGGUGUAGCGGUGAAAUGCGCAGAUAUCAGGAAGAACACCCGUGGCGAAGGCGGUUCUCUGGGACGGUACUGACGCUGAGACGCGAAAGCGUGGGGAGCGAACAGG
rnacentral:rRNA from 1 species